CGACCCCAGGUCAGGCGGACUACCCGCUGAGUUUAAGCAUAUCAAUAAGCGGAGGAAAAGAAACUACUAGGAUCCCUUAGUAACGGCGAGCGAACCGGGAACAGCCCACUUGAAAAUCGGGCGGCUUCGUCGUCCGAAUUGUAGUCUGGAGAAGCGUCCUCACGGCGGACCGGGCCCAAUCCCCUGGAAGGGGGCGCCGGAGAGGUGAGAGCCCCGUGUGCCCCGACCCUGUCGCACCACGAGGCGCUGUCUGCGAGUCGGGUUGUUUGGAAUGCAGCCCAAUAGGCGGUAAAUUCCGUCCAAGCUAAAUACUGGCGUGAGACCGAUAGCAACAAGUACCCAGCUGCGAGGGAAAGAUGAAAGGACUUUGAAAAGAGAGUCAAAGAGUGCUUGAAAAUUGUCGGAGGGAAGCGAAUGGGGGCCGGCGAUGCGUCCCGGUCGGAUGUGGAACGGUGUAAGUCGGUCCGCCGAUCGGCUCGGGACGUGGACCGGGCGGAUUGGUACGGGCGGCCAAAGCCCAGGCUGUUGAUAUGCCUGUGGAGAUGCCGUUGUGCCGAUCGUGGUUGGCAGCGCGCGCGCGUCACGGCGUGCUUCGGCACCUGCGUGCUCCUGCACCUCGGCCUGCGGGCACCCAAUUCGGCCCGUCUGAAACCGGACCAAGGAGUCUGACAUGUGUGCGAGUCAAACGGGUGAGUAAACCCGCAAGGCGCAGGAAGCUGAUUGGCGGGAUCCCCCUCGUGGGUGCACCGCCGACGACCUUGAAUCUUCUGAGAAGGGUUCGAGUGUGAGCAUGCCUGUCGGGACCCGAAAGAAUGGUGAACUAAUGCCUGAGCGGGCGAAGCCGAGGAAACUCUGGUGGAGGCCCGCAGCGAACUGACGUGCAAAUCGUCGUCUGACUUGGGUAUAGGGGCGAAAGACUAAUCGAACGUCUAGUAGCUGGUUCCCUCCGAAGUUUCCCUCAGGAUAGCUGGAGCCCGGGUGCGAGUUCUUAUCGGUAAAGCGAAUGAUUAGAGGCAUCGGGGGCGCACGCCCUCGACCUAUUCUCAAACUUUAAAUAGGUAGGACGGCGCGGCUGCUUGUUGAGCCGCGCCAUCACGGUCGAGAGCUCCAAGUGGGCCAUUUUGUAAGCAGAACUGGCGAUGCGGGAUGAACCGGAAGCCGGGUUACGGUGCCAAACUGCGCGCUAACCUAGAACCAAAGGGUGUUGGUCGAUUAAGACAGCAGGACGGUGGUCAUGGAAAGUCGAAAUCCGCUAAGGAGUGUGUAAACUCACCUGCCGAAUCAACUAGCCCGAAUGGAUGGCGCUUAAGCGCGCGACCUACACCUCGCCGUCGGGCAAGUGCCAGGCCCGCGAUGAGUAGGAGGCGCGGCGGUCGCUGCAAAAACCUUGGGCGUGAGCCCGGGCGGAGCGGCCGUCGGUGCGGAUCUUGGUGUAGUAGCAAUAAUCAAAUGAGAAUUUAAGGCCGAAGAGGGGAAAGGUUCUGUGAACGGCACUGCACAUGGGGUUAGUCGAUCCUAAGAGACGGGGAAAGCCCGUCAGAUAGCGUGUUUCACCGCGAGCUUCGAAGGGAUCGGGUUAAAACCCUGAACCGGGACGUGGCGGCUGACGCAACGUUAGGGAUUCCGGAGACGUCGGCGGGGCCUCGGGAAGAGUUAUCUUUCUGUUAACAGCCUGCCCACGCCUGGAAACGACUCAGUCGAGGUAGGGUCCAGCGGCUGGAAGAGCACCGCACGUCGCGCGGUGUCCGGUGCGCCCCCGGCGGCCCUUGAAAUCCGGAGGACCGAGUGCCCCACGCCCGUGUACUCAUAAUCGCAUCAGGUCUCCAAGGUGACAGCCCUGGUCGAUGGAACAAUGUAGGCAAGGGAAACGCAAUGGAUCCGUAACCUCGGAAAAGGAUUGGCUCUGAGGCUGGGCAACUGGGCCCUGUCCCGAACCGUCGGCUUCGGGGCUGCCGAAGUGCUUCCGCGGCGAGAGCGGUCACGCGUGCCCGCGGGGGACGGACUGGGAACGGCCUCUUCGGGCCUUCCCCGGGCGUCGAACAGCCAACUCAGAACUGGUAACGGACCAAGGGAUAUCCGACUGUUUAAUUUAAAACAAAGCAUUGCGAUGGUCCCUGCGGAUGCUAACCGCAAUGUGAUUUCUGCCCAGUGCUCUGAAUGUCAAAGUGAAGAAAUUCAACCAAGCCGCGGGUAAACGGCGGGAGUAACUAAGACUCUCUAAGGUAGCCAAAUCCUCGUCAUCUAAUUAGUGACGCGCAUGAAAUGGAUAACGAGAUUCCACUGUCCCUGUCACUACGCAGCGAAACACAGCCAAGGGAACGGGCUUGGCAGAAUCAGCGGGGAAAGAAGACCUGUUGAGCUUGACUCUAGUCCGACUUUGUUGAAAUGACUUGAGAGGUGUAGGUAUAAGUGGGAGCCCUCGGCGAAAGUGAAAUACCACUACUUUUAACGUAUUUUACUUAUUUCCUGAAUCGGAAGCGGGGCAACGCCCCUCUUUUGGACCCAAGGCCCGCCUCGGCGGGUCGAUCCGGGCGGAAGACAUUGUCAGGUGGGAGUUUGGCUGGGGCGGCACAUCUGUUAAAAGAUAACGCAGGUGUCCUAAGAUGAGCUCAACGAGAACAGAAAUCUCGUGUAGAACAGAAGGGUAAAAGCUCGUUUAGAUUCUGAUUUCCAGUACGAAUACGAACCGUGAAAGCGUGGCCUACGAUCCUUUAGACCUUCGAAUUUGAAGCUAGAGGUGUCAGAAAAGUUACCACAGGAUAACUGGCUUUGUGGCCAGCCAAGCGUUCAUAAGACUUGCUUUUUGAUCCUUCGAUGUCGGUUCUCCUAUCAUUGUGAAGCAAAGAAUUCACCAAGUGUUGGAUUGUUCACUUCCACCAAUAGGGAAGUGAACUGGUUUAGACCGUCGUGAGACAGGUUAGUUUACCCUAUCUGAGAUAGUGGGUCGAAUAGUAAUUCAACCUAGUACGAGGAACCGUUGAUUCGCACAAUUGGGUCAUCGCGCUUGUUGAAAAGCCAGUGCGCGAAGGCUACCGUGCGCUGGAUUAUGAACGAACGCCUCUAAGUCAGAAUCCGGGCUAGAAGCGACGCGUGUCCCGUCGCCUGUUUGCCGACCAGCAGUAGGGCCUCGCCCCAAAUGGCACGUUCGUGAGGCUAAGCUCGCGUGGCGGACGAGCCCCCGCGCGGCCGCCUUGAAGUACAAUUCCCAUCAAGCGACGGUAGAAUCCUUAGACGACUUAAAUACGUGACGGGGUAUGUAGUGGCAGAGUGGCCUUGCUGCACGAUCCCUGAGAUUCAGCCCUGCGUCGCUCAAUUCGU
rnacentral:rRNA from 1 species